UACGUAGGGUGCGAGCGUUGUCCGGAUUUAUUGGGCGUAAAGAGCUCGUAGGCGGUUUGUCGCGUCGGCCGUGAAAUCUCCACGCUUAACGUGGAGCGUGCGGUCGAUACGGGCAGACUUGAGUGCGGUAGGGGAGACUGGAAUUCCUGGUGUAGCGGUGAAAUGCGCAGAUAUCAGGAGGAACACCGGUGGCGAAGGCGGGUCUCUGGGCCGAUAUCGACGCUGAGGAGCGAAAGCGUGGGGAGCGAACAGG
rnacentral:rRNA from 1 species